ACAAUGAUACUUGCGACUUGAACGCUUCACAGCAUUGGUCGCCGCGCCAUCGGCAUGGAGCGGGGUGGGAUUCCCAUGA
rfam:Clostridium sp. W14A NODE_20, whole genome shotgun sequence.